rnacentral:rRNA from 1 species
UACGAAGGGGGCUAGCGUUGUUCGGAAUUACUGGGCGUAAAGCGUACGUAGGCGGACAUUUAAGUCAGGGGUGAAAUCCCGGGGCUCAACCCCGGAACGGCCUUUGAUACUGGGUGUCUUGAGUUCGGAAGAGGUGAGUGGAAUUGCGAGUGUAGAGGUGAAAUUCGUAGAUAUUCGGAAGAACACCAGUGGCGAAGGCGACUCACUGGACACGUAUUGACGCUGAGGUGCGAAAGCGUGGGGAGCAAACAGG